UGGGUUCCCAUGGCAUAUAACUUACAAAUAAUUCAAAAGGAGAAUGUUAUGAGGUUGCCUCCAUUGCUACGUGACUCUGGGAGAUAUAUAUGUAUAUAUAUAUAUGUAUGUAUGUUGGUAUACAUGUUGGUAUUUAUUUAAAAAAUUUCUUUAGUUGAAAUUUCGAGCAUUUGACCUAAGUGGCUGAUAAUAUCUCAUAAAAGCUGACAUUUGUUAGUGGAUUAUAAUAUGUCAGGCUCAGUGCUACCUGCUUUCUGUGGAUUAUCUCAGAAUCCUCGCACUGAUCUGUAUUUUUCAUUUUAUAGAGGGAUCUAUGUGGAGGUGCUGAGUUGUCAAAGGACACUGGCAGAGCUUGAUUGCAUUCAGGGCUGAAUUACUUUGCUAAAGUGGCGGGGUCUAUUUCUCUACCCCUUGAAUCUGAGCAGGGCUCGUGCCUUGCUUUGGCCACUAGAAUUCAGGGGGAUGGCCCGUGCACCAGCCCUGUGCCCAGCUCUGAAGACCCUCUGUGUUUCCUCUUUGCCUCAUGCUGUCUGCAGCCAUGAGGAGAACACACCCAAGCUACCGGAGGAUGGAAGGCAAGUGGAGAAGAUCCGAGUCGUGCCACCAAGGCCAGUCUAGAUGAGCCAAGAGCUAGUAGAGCCCCGGAUAUUUAAGUGAGUCUGGCUGGGCGCGGUGGCUCAUGCCUGUAAUUCCAGCACUUUGGGAGGCUGAGGCAGGUGGAUCACGAGGUCAGGAGAUCGAGACCAUCCUGGCUAACGUGGUGAAACCCUAUCUCUACUAAAAAAUACAAAAAAGUAGCCGGGCGUGGUGGCGGGCACCGGUAGUCCCAGCUAUUCGGGAGGCUGAGGCAGGAGAAUGGCGUGAACCCGGGAGGUGGAGCUUGCAGUGAGCUGAGAUCAUGCCACUGCACUCCAGUCUGGGCGACAGAGCGAGACUCCGUCUCAAAACAAAACAAAACAAAACAAAACAAAAAAAGAAAAAA
rnacentral:lncRNA from 10 species